rnacentral:rRNA from 1 species
AGUGAACGCUGGCGGUAGACCUAACACAUGCAAGUCGAACGGCAGCACAGUAAGAGCUUGCUCUUACGGGUGGCGAGUGGCGGACGGGUGAGGAAUACAUCGGAAUCUACUUUUUCGUGGGGGAUAACGUAGGGAAACUUACGCUAAUACCGCAUACGACCUACGGGUGAAAGCAGGGGAUCUUCGGACCUUGCGCGAUUGAAUGAGCCGAUGUCGGAUUAGCUAGUUGGCGGGGUAAAGGCCCACCAAGGCGACGAUCCGUAGCUGGUCUGAGAGGAUGAUCAGCCACACUGGAACUGAGACACGGUCCAGACUCCUACGGGAGGCAGCAGUGGGGAAUAUUGGACAAUGGGCGCAAGCCUGAUCCAGCCAUACCGCGUGGGUGAAGAAGGCCUUCGGGUUGUAAAGCCCUUUUGUUGGGAAAGAAAAGCAGCAGGUUAAUACCCCGCUGUUCUGACGGUACCCAAAGAUUAAGCACCGGCUAACUUCGUG